rnacentral:rRNA from 1 species
UACAGAGGGGGCAAGCGUUGUUCGGAAUUACUGGGCGUAAAGGGCGCGUAGGCGGCCUUCUAAGUCGAACGUGAAAUCCCCGGGCUCAACCCGGGAACUGCGUCCGAUACUGGGAGGCUUGAAUCCGGGAGAGGGAUGUGGAAUUCCAGGUGUAGCGGUGAAAUGCGUAGAUAUCUGGGGGAACACCGGUGGCGAAGGCGGCAUCCUGGACCGGUAUUGACGCUGAGGCGCGAAAGCCAGGGGAGCAAACGGG